GUGGCGAGUGGCGAACGGGUGAGUAAUGCAUCGGAACGUGCCCAACUGUGGGGGAUAGCUCGGCGAAAGCCGGAUUAAUACCGCAUACGAUCCACGGAUGAAAGCGGGGGACCUUCGGGCCUCGCGCAGUUGGAGCGGCCGAUGUUAGAUUAGGUAGUUGGUGGGGUAAAGGCUCACCAAGCCGACGAUCUAUAGCUGGUCUGAGAGGACGACCAGCCACACUGGGACUGAGACACGGCCCAGACUCCUACGGGAGGCAGCAGUGGGGAAUUUUGGACAAUGGGCGCAAGCCUGAUCCAGCAAUACCGCGUGCAGGAAGAAGGCCUUCGGGUUGUAAACUGCUUUUGUACGGAACGAAAAGGUCUGGGUUAAUACCCUGGGCUCAUGACGGUACCGUAAGAAUAAGCACCGGCUAACUACGUGCCAGCAGCCGCGGUAAUACGUAGGGUGCAAGCGUUAAUCGGAAUUACUGGGCGUAAAGCGUGCGCAGGCGGUUAUGUAAGACAGGCGUGAAAUCCCCGGGCUCAACCUGGGAAUUGCGCUUGUGACUGCAUAACUAGAGUACGGUAGAGGGGGAUGGAAUUCCGCGUGUAGCAGUGAAAUGCGUAGAUAUGCGGAGGAACACCAAUGGCGAAGGCAGUCCCCUGGACCUGUACUGACGCUCAUGCACGAAAGCGUGGGGAGCAAACAGGAUUAGAUACCCUGGUAGUCCACGCCCUAAACGAUGUCAACUGGUUGUUGGGUAUUUACUUACUCAGUAACGAAGC
rnacentral:rRNA from 1 species